AUUGAACGCUGGCGGCAGGCUUAACACAUGCAAGUCGGACGGUAACAGGUCUUUCGGGAUGCUGACGAGUGGCGGACGGGUGAGUAAUGCUUGGGAAUCUGUUUGUUAGUGGGGGAUAACUCGGGGAAACCAGGGCUAAUACCGCAUACGUCUUUAGGGGGAAAGCAGGGGAUCGUAAGACCUUGCGCUAAUGAGUGAGCCCAAGUCGGAUUAGUUUGUUGGUGAGGUAAAGGCUCACCAAGACUGCGAUCCGUAGCUGGUCUGAGAGGAUGAUCAGCCACACUGGGACUGAGACACGGCCCAGACUCCUACGGGAGGCAGCAGUGGGGAAUAUUGGACAAUGGGCGCAAGCCUGAUCCAGCCAUGCCGCGUGUGUGAAGAAGGUCUUAUGAUUGUAAAGCACUUUAAGUCAGGAGGAAGGUGCGAGGGC
rnacentral:rRNA from 1 species